AAAGAAAAAAAGGAUGAGGUUUGCCUUUCACAAAAUCUAAGGAAGGAGGGGGUGGGGUUGGCGGUUAGGACGCUGCUUGGGAGGCCCGCGCCUCACACCAGGUGCCUGGGCUGGAGUCCUAACUGGGCUUCCAAUUCUGUUAAUUCCUACUGACGCAUGUCCCGGAAGGCAGCAGGUGACGGCUCAAGUGCUCGGGUCCCUGCCACCCACCUGGGAGCCCCGAUGGAGUUCUGGGCUCCUGACUCUGGCCUGACUCAGCCCCGGCUGUUGUAGGCAUUGAGGGAGUGAACCAGAAAUGGAAGCGCACGCGCUUUCUCUCUCUGUCUCUCUGCCUUUAAAGUAAAUUUUAAAAAUAAAUACAUUUUUUAAAGAUGUAUUUACUUAUUUGAAAGGCAGAGUUACAGAGAGGCAGAGAGAGAGAGAGAGAGAGAGAGAGAGAGAGAGGUCUCCCAUCUGCUAGUUCACUCCCCAAAUGGUUGCAAUAGGCAGAGCUAAGCCGAUCCAAAGCCAGGAGCCAGGAGCCUCUUCUGGGUCUCCCACGUGGGUGCAGGGGCCCAAGGACUUGGCCAUCUUCCACUGCUUUCCCAGGCCACAGCAGAGAGCUGGAUCGGAAGUGGAGCAGCCAGGACUCAAACUGGUGCCCAUACGGGAUGCUGGCACUGCAGGCGGCGGCUUUACCCGCUAUGCCACAGCUCCAGCCCAAAAAUAAAUAAAUUUUUAAAAGCACCCUGAGGUUUUCUCCCAGAAAUUUUCUGAUUCAGUGGGCCGGGGGCCAGGCAUUAGCACCCUUAACACUGCUCCCCAGCCCCCUCCCUGGUUCUCACACGUGGCUCGGAACAGAAAUGCCGUUCCUUUCCCAGGCAAAAGAGAGUGAGGGUUGGGGGCCGGGUGGGCUUGUUUAUCGCUGGGGCAAUGGCCUGCAUUUCAUUCAGUUUUCAGAAACAACAACAACAACGCAAGCCCCAUCCUGCCCUGGGCUCCUCUGGCGGAGGCCACGCUGGCCACUGGCAUGACUGGCACUAGAGCCCCUGCCGGACCCUCGCAGCCAGGAGCCUGUGCCAGGGGCUGGGAUGGCCUCAGCACCCCCAGCUCCCCGCUGUGUGGGGCUCCGGCGUGUACGGACAGCUCGCGAGCGUCUUCCCUGAUAAUAAAAAUCGUUUCGACAGAAAGGGUGCCCCGUGGGCCUGGGGGGCGCAGGUCGUGCCAAGCGGGCCGGAAGCGCUCUGUGCGAUAUGGCCUGGCGGCGGGCACGGCUGGCGUGGCUGGGAACCCAGGACCCACCGGCCUCUGCAGGAGCACGGAGCCCUGGCGCUGGUGACAACGCAAGCGCUCUCCAGCCGCGGUUCCCCGGCCCUGCCUCUGCCGCGGCCCCAACAACAGUGUCAUCUCGAGAGACAGCUUGUGUCUGCCGGCGUCACCUCCACACUUCACAGGGCGGCAGAGAAUCCACAGUGAGAGCCGCGAGAGCGCCAGGGGCUGUGACCCGCGUGUCCCCUCCGAGGCGGGACGGCAGAGGGGACUUAGCCGUGCCUCGCUGGCCGACACCCUGGAGGGCCCUGCUCCGCUGCUCUCUGUCAAGACCCCUCCUACUCAGAUCCAGAGUCUCUAAGAAGCCACAGCGGAGGGACGCCUGCCUGCCCACUGCCCAUCCUGCCACGGAAAUGAACAGCGAAGUGAUAAAACCCCGCACCCUGACCUUGACGUUGGCGCCAGGUUGGGCUCAGGGCCCAGCCUCUGUCCUCGCUUUCCGGGCAUCACUGCCCCGGGGGCUCGGCUCCUUCCCGGGGGAGGUAGAGGUUUCGCCAGCAUCAGCUCUGCAGGGUGCCCUGGGCGUGGGGGCGGGGGGAGGUGGUGUGCGCCCGGCUCCCUAAACACCAGCUACUGUGAAGCAGUGGAGACGGAAGCGAGAGUGGAUUUUAAUCCGCCACAGACGAAGCCUGGGGUAGCCUGGCUUUCCAAGUAGUAAAAAUUGGUUCCAAUAUAAUUUAGCCCCUUCAGAAGUCGGAUUUGAAACGAACAUUUGUAGGGAACCUACAAAUUACAUCUGCAAGGAUGGGUCUGUAAUUACAGGCUUCAUUAAUUACACUGGGGAUUUGUUCUUGAAAA